AAUUAAAUUUUUUUAUCCAUUUCUACUAUUAAAAACUGGUGUGGCUAACAAAAUAAUCAAAUUGUUACACAAGGAUCAAUUUUAACAGUAGAAGUGGAUGAAAUUUUUAACA
rnacentral:pre_miRNA from 1 species